GAUACGGUUAGAUGAAAAGGGAGGAGAAGGAGAGAAGAGAGAGAUCGACAGCCUGGGACAGACAGGGUAAGCGGAGAGGAAAAUGUAUGAAUAGAUAAAGGAUGGGGAGCAGGUGAGUCAGAGAAGAGAAGGAGUGAGAGAAGAAAAUGGGAAAUGAUGAAUGAAGGAGAGAGGAAACGUAUAAAAGUGAUGAGAAAUUACCAAAGAUACUGUGGUAGUCACGAAUGUACCCAAGUCCAGAGACAAAAGGUGAACUGUAAUGGCAGGGACAAAAAAACCUAGCAAGGAAGAACCCAGGAAACUCAGAGACUACAAAGGAAACACACAAGAUCACAAUGUCGUCUGCAAACACCAUGGUCCACGGAGACUCCUGCCUGACCUC